rnacentral:rRNA from 1 species
GACGAACGCUGGCGGCGUGCCUAAUACAUGCAAGUAGAACGCUGAAGGAGGAGCUAGCUUCUCUGGAUGAGUUGCGAACGGGUGAGUAACGCGUAGGUAACCUGCCUGGUAGCGGGGGAUAACUAUUGGAAACGAUAGCUAAUACCGCAUAAUAGUAGAUGUUGCAUGACAUUUGCUUAAAAGGUGCAAUUGCAUCACUACCAGAUGGACCUGCGUUGUAUUAGCUAGUUGGUGGGGUAACGGCUCACCAAGGCGACGAUACAUAGCCGACCUGAGAGGGUGAUCGGCCACACUGGGACUGAGACACGGCCCAGACUCCUACGGGAGGCAGCAGUAGGGAAUCUUCGGCAAUGGACGGAAGUCUGACCGAGCAACGCCGCGUGAGUGAAGAAGGUUUUCGGAUCGUAAAGCUCUGUUGUAAGAGAAGAACGAGUGUGAGAGUGGAAAGUUCACACUGUGACGGUAUCUUACCAGAAAGGGACGGCUAACUACGUG